rnacentral:lncRNA from 1 species
AAAAAACUAAGACCCUAACCUCCUUCAUGAGAUGAUAUGGAAACAGUUGUAUGUAAGAAAAUAUGAGAUACAAUGGAUCAAAAUGAGUUCUCCAGAGAGGCACCAAAAUUUACUAUGGGAGCAUGGAGGACAAUGAGAUGAUCUCUGCCUGGGGAUGGGGGCACAUUGAUGGAAGUGAGCAGGCGAUCUGAGUGCAGAGGCACAGAAGUCAUCAGGCGGAGGCUGGGAAGCAGGGCUCUCCCAGGUAGUAAGAACAUCCUGCUUAAAAGCCCAGAAAGUAGGACAACAGUCAGUAACUGAAUUAGCCAAAUAUUCAGAAGAAGGCAGCAUGCCCCAAAUGUCUCCAGUCACAAUUAAGCUACUGGCUUUCCUUCUGCAUGGAACUGGGUUCGUUGCCAAACAUUCCUGUCAAGUGAGGCAGCUACAAAUUCAGCGUUUCCAAUGGAAAACUCAUGAUUUCCUGCUCUGCUUCCAAGAUCUGUCCCUCUUCCAUCUCAGUAAAAGAAACCAUCAUGAAUCCAAAAACCUAGGAGUCAUCCUAAAUCAUUG